rnacentral:piRNA from 1 species
AGAAUGGUGGUAUUUGUUCAAGAUGG